rnacentral:rRNA from 1 species
GAUGAACGCUGGCGGCGUGCCUAAUACAUGCAAGUCGAGCGAACAGACGAGGAGCUUGCUCCUCUGACGUUAGCGGCGGACGGGUGAGUAACACGUGGAUAACCUACCUAUAAGACUGGGAUAACUUCGGGAAACCGGAGCUAAUACCGGAUAAUAUAUUGAACCGCAUGGUUCAAUAGUGAAAGACGGUUUUGCUGUCACUUAUAGAUGGAUCCGCGCAGCAUUAGCUAGUUGGUAAGGUAACGGCUUACCAAGGCAACGAUGCGUAGCCGACCUGGGAGGGUGAUCGGCCACACGGGAGCUGAGACACGGUCCAGACUCCUACGGGAGGCAGCAGUAGGGAAUCUUCCGCAAUGGGCGAAAGCCUGACGGGGCAACGCCGCGUGAGUGAUGAAGGUCUUCGGAUCGUAAAACUCUGUUAUUAGGGAAGAACAAAUGUGUAAGUAACUAUGCACGUCUUGACGGUACCUAAUCAGAAAGCCACGGCUAACUACGUG